GAUCCUGGCUCAGGAUGAACGCUGGCGGCGCGCCUAACACAUGCAAGUCGAACGGCACCUAUCUUCGGAUAGAAGCGAGUGGCGAACGGCUGAGUAACACGUGGAGAACCUGCCCCCCUCCCCCGGGAUAGCCGCCCGAAAGGACGGGUAAUACCGGAUACCCCGGGGUGCCGCAUGGCACCCCGGCUAAAGCCCCGACGGGAGGGGAUGGCUCCGCGGCCCAUCAGGUAGACGGCGGGGUGACGGCCCACCGUGCCGACAACGGGUAGCCGGGUUGAG
rnacentral:rRNA from 1 species